rnacentral:rRNA from 1 species
CGGGAGUAAUAGUCUGGGAAACGUGCCUGAUGGAGGGGGAUAACUACUGGAAACGGUAGCUAAUACCGCAUAACGUCGCAAGACCAAAGUGGGGGACCGUUCGGGCCUCAUGCCAUCAGAUGUGCCCAGAUGGGAUUAGCUAGUAGGUGGGGUAACGGCUCACCUAGGCGACGAUCCCUAGCUGGUCUGAGAGGAUGACCAGCCACACUGGAACUGAGACACGGUCCAG